rnacentral:rRNA from 1 species
GAUGAACGCUAGCGGCAGGCUUAAUACAUGCAAGUCGAGGGGCAGCAGGACUGUAGCAAUACAGUUGCUGGCGACCGGCAAACGGGUGCGGAACACGUACGCAACCUUCCUUUAAGUGAGGGAUAGCCCAGGGAAACUUGGAUUAAUACCUCGUAAUAUUUGAGAGUGGCAUCACUUUCUAAUUAUAGCUCCGGCGCUUAAAGAUGGGCGUGCGACUGAUUAGGUAGUUGGCGGGGUAACGGCCCACCAAGCCUGCGAUCAGUAACUGGUGUGAGAGCACGACAAGUCACACGGGCAAUGAGACACGGGCCCGACUCCUACGGGAGGCAGCAGUAAGGAAUAUUGGUCAAUGGACGCAAGUCUGAACCAGCCAUGCCGCGUGGAGGAUGAAGGUCCUCUGGAUUGUAAACUUCUUUUAUCUGGGAAGAAACCCAUAUUUUCUAGUGUGGUUGACGGUACCAGAUGAAUAAGCACCGGCUAACUCCGUGCCAGCCGCCGCCGUAAUAC